GGAAAACACCGAAAGUCCUAACGCUAGCGUUAGCAGCUAACGUUACAUCUUCUUUGACUCAUCAUGAUACAGUGCAGACGAGGAGUUUGCUUUUAACAGUGAAAACACCGAAACAACUCCACAAACUGCGGACCAACAAUGCACUUUAUUUCCUUAUUUGGAGGACCUAUUUUCUUAGAAUGUGAGCAUUUCUAUGAUGCACCAAGUGGCUAAGGGUACCAAGCUUGGUGUUAAAAAAAAAAACUGAACAGACUAGAACCUGGUGAUGACCCCACUGAUUGGGAAAUCUCUGCCCAUCACCUGCCCUGAAGAUCACAAAGCCUCAACAAGGGAACGAAGAUUCUUCCGGCGGCUGACUAUUUAUUUAUUUAUUUAUUUAAAGGGGAACCAGUACUCCAGGAUUUUUCGAGAAAGUUGGAUCUGCACAGUCUUUCCUGCUCUAUGAAACUACCAUGCACUGAACUUUACAGUUGGCAACUGGACACAACUGAUCCACUCAUAUCCUGCAACUGUUUUUCAUCUGCUGAACGUUGUUGACUCGAGCACUGCUGCACUGUUGCAAAGUCAAAGGUACUGAAUCAACUUAACUGACACAGGACUUACAUUCACUGACAUGUACAGGACUUGAACUAUUACAGACCAUUUGAUAAGCAACUUUCAUACAAUUCCGAUGACAGAAAUUCCUAUAUUGUGCUUUCAUUUAUUUUAAAAGUUAACCUAUGAUGUAAAGGGACUUGUUUGUUAAAGGGUUAGU